rnacentral:rRNA from 1 species
GAUGAACGCUGGCGGCGUGCCUAAUACAUGCAAGUCGAGCGAACGGACGAGAAACUUGCUUCUCUGAUGUUAGCGGCGGACGGGUGAGUAACACGUGGAUAACCUACCUAUAAGACUGGGAUAACUUCGGGAAACCGUAGCUAAUACCGGAUAAUAUUUUGAACCGCAUGGUUCAAAAGUGAAAGACGGUCUUGCUGUCACUUAUAGAUGGAUCCGCGCUGCAUUAGCUAGUUGGUAAGGUAACGGCUUACCAAGGCAACGAUGCAUAGCCGACCUGAGAGGGUGAUCGGCCACACUGGAACUGAGACACGGUCCAGACUCCUACGGGAGGCAGCAGUAGGGAAUCUUCCGCAAUGGGCGAAAGCCUGACGGAGCAACGCCGCGUGAGUGAUGAAGGUCUUCGGAUCGUAAAACUCUGUUAUUAGGGAAGAACAUAUGUGUAAGUAACUGUGCACAUCUUGACGGUACCUAAUCAGAAAGCCACGGCUAACUACGUG